AGUGUUGUUGCUGUUUGUCGCGGAACAUGUGGAAAAGUUUUUUUCCGUUGUCCGAGUGUAUGUGUGCCAGGAAUCCGCGCCUGGAUGUGAAACGACGAUCGACACAUGGUGUUCGAUUCAGUGGCGCGUCAGUAAAUUCCGUCACCAUUUCGUCGACCGUGGUGAAACGCAGGCCAGCGCCGCAGAUUACGGUAGCGAGCGGCCCGCAGGUCCUAUCGCCGAAGCGACUCCGCACGACCGCGCUGCCCGGCGUCGCGGCGGCUGCCCUUCCGGCCCUCGGCAACUGCCUCGUCCCGGCGCAUCCAUCGGCCGCUGCCGCUGCCGCCGCCGCAGCCGCCCUGCUGCAGCAUCAAAUCCAUCAACACCAUCAUCAACAGCAGCAGCAGCAGCAACAGCAGCAUCUUCAGCAACUACACCAUCAGCAAUCGAUAAGCACGGACGUACAAACUCAGCAGGCACAGCAGCAGCAGCAGGUGCAGCAGGUGCAGCAAUCGAUCUCACCGCAACCGAACCCAGUAUCCGUAUCGGUUGCUAGUGCACUCGCCGGCCAAUCGCCGCUGGGUACGAAUCCCACCAGUAGCACCGGAACACCAGCAGUUGGGGUAGGGCAGCCGCCGAUGUUCAGCUCGCCGGUCGUUGCGCAGUCGAACGCCGUAGUCAGCAGUCCGUCUUUGAACGGUGCGCUGAACGUGAACGCCGUAAACGCAGCCAACAACAACCACACCGGACUCGGACAGACCGGCCAGUCGGCCACCGGCAACCUCAAGAUGGACAGCUCGAUGGGACAGAUGACGCCGAUGGCACCGCUGGCAUUGUCGCAAAGCAUGGAUUCCGUAAACACGGCCAGCAACGAAGAAGAGGUUCGCACACUCUUCGUCAGCGGGCUGCCGAUGGAUGCGAAACCGCGCGAACUCUAUCUACUGUUCAGAGCCUACGAAGGGUACGAAGGAUCGCUGCUGAAGGUUACCAGCAAAAAUGGAAAGACGGCAUCGCCUGUUGGCUUCGUCACGUUCAACACCCGUGCCGGUGCGGAAGCCGCCAAGCAGGAUCUACAGCAAGGUGUACGCUUCGAUCCCGAUAUGCCCCAAACAAUACGCUUGGAAUUCGCCAAGAGUAACACUAAAGUCAGCAAACCAAAACCACAACCUAAUACAGCGGCCACAGCUGCACAUCCUGCAUUGAUGCACCCACUUACUGCUGGACACUUAGGUACACCGUUUUUUCCUGGCGGCCCGGAACUAUGGCAUCAUCCGUUAGCGUUCUCGGCGGCGGCCGCUGAGCUGCCGAGUGCAGCCGCACUGCAGCAUGCAACGCUCGUCCAUCCGGCACUGCAUCCGCAGGUCCCGGUCCGGUCCUACCUCUGACUAAAUACGGACAAAGUCCUCGAACAGCAGCAGCCCAUGCACCAACAAAUUCAAAUGCCGCACCCGUCAGCAAUACAUCCAGCAUCGAUGCAUGUGUCCGCCGGCCUGCCAGCGAACCACUUUUUGCCCAGUCCGGCACUGGCCAGUCCGGUUGGCAGCACUGCUGGCGGCAAUCAGCCACCGAACCCGCCGCUAGCCGCCAAUGCUCCCUGCUCGACACUGUUCGUUGCCAAUCUGGGACAGUUUGUUUCCGAGCAUGAGCUGAAAGAAAUUUUCGCUAGGGGGGCGGGUUUGGAGCCAAGAAUGGAACAUCAUUUGGGGAAGAAGAGUGAACGAACCGAUCUCAGCUCGUACCUAAUGGCAACAACCUGACCGCAACAUCUGCAACCCGUAGCCACCACCAUCAUGAACCAUAGCAAUCUUAGCGGCAACCAUCAUUGCAUCAGCAGCACAGGCUCCACCAUCUUGAACGGCGGUAGCGGCGGCGGAACAACACUAAUCGGGGGCACGGCCAUGCACGGCCGUGGCGGACCACCGCCCGGUACGGUGGUACCACCGGCAACAACAAUGGCCGGCCUGGGUGGACAGAAUGCGGGACUGUUCACCUUUGCCGUGGCACCACAUCCACGGGCGUAAAUGACGGGCGCGAAUUAAUCAACAUCUAGCAGUGCAGCUGCUUUGCAAGAGGAUAAUCUAAUAGCAACAACCAAACCAAAAACGAAACAAAAAAAAACAACAUUAUGUCAUACCAAGGAUGCUUAAGAUGUAAAGGACCGGUUACGGUAGAAAUAAGUGGGGUAGCUGUCGAGCACGAUACAGAAUGGAUCGCUUUUCGGUACCGAUCCAACAUAGAUGUGAUCUCUGUGAUAAGCGAUCGAAAAGACGAAUCUAUGAGGCGCAAUUUUAGCAUUCAUACGCUAGGGUUUGAACAGUUUGGUGUUUCGUCGAGGAGGGAGACGGAACCACCCAGUUGUGGAGAAGGUUGCAGAUGAAGCGCUAGAUGAUAGGAAUGUAAGUAACCACAUUAACUCUCCUACCUAACAAAACAAACACUUGCUGCAGCUACUACUGUCCUUACAAGCAAACAAACAAAUUACUGAAAAGAAAUCGAAACGCUGUAUUUUGCAAAGUCCGCUCCGCUUCCGAAGUGUGAAGCGACCGGACAAGUAACAGUGGCGAAACAGCGAACGGAAGAGCGAAAAAACGCGCUAGCUAAAGCAUUACUAGUUGAUCACUUUUUACCAAAAUGUGCCCUAAACGGAGUGAUGAUCGGCUGCUGGGAGGAAGAUCGAAGGGCACGUGGCACGAAAUGCCAUUCAAACGUGAAGUGAAGCAGAUGAACAUUAACAAGGCAAACAACAAAUUGAAUUAGCGGGCCCACUUUACAGCCGAUCAUCACUCUACCUAGUUUCCAAUUUACGUUUAACAAACAAACGAACAAAAACGAAUGUUAUCUAUUAACGAAAUCGUUUUCUUUUUCCUCUCCCAUUUCCCGCACAUUCAAACGAAAGGGACAUUCAAUCAUUCUUUACAUCCCGUUUUUAACAUUAGCAUCAUUUUUGAAUCCAACAAUCUGAGAUAUACAUGCUAGAAGAAAAAAAACAGGCAUCUGUAAGCGGAAAAACAACGGGAGAUUGUGAAAGUCCUCACCAGCAGGUGCCAGGAUACCGAAGUCAAUGGCUAACCAAUGUGAUUAGGGUUUCAUCACUGCAAAAGCGCAACAACAACAGAAAACGUACGCAGCUUCUUUUGCAGUAAGCGAUGAUCGUUGCUGCUGCAGCGCAUAACAAAACAAAAAGGUUCGUCGCCUAUCGCCGGUUAAGUCUCCAACGACAAAACUGGAUUUCUGUAUGCGCGCUAGCAGCGGUAGCAAAAUGAAACGAUAAGAUAAAUGAGGGCAAAUUAAGGAAGAAAAAAAAACAAUUUCAAACAAAAUGUGAGCAAUAAACUACAUAAAACAUACACCGACACAUACACAUUAUAUCAGACAGAAACACGUAGAAAAGGAAGCGUAACAACAAAACUAACAAAAUAUGAGAGGGGAAAAAAGUACUUUGUAAAUGAAAAUAUCCAUGCAUAUCAAGAUUUUGAAUCGACAUUUAAGAAACGAGAUACAUUUACUAGCCAGGAGCAAAUGGGUAUGAGGGGCAGAUGAUGAUCGUUAAUCAUGCAGCAAAGUAAACGAAAACAAAAAAAAAACACCCACACAACGUGACGCGGUGUGACGUAUUUAGCAAUUUUAAAAAGAAACCUCGUGACUGUGUAAUGG